GAGAUUGCCCUGAUGUGGGGGAUAACCAUUGGAAACGAUGGCUAAUACCGCAUAAUGCCUUCGGGCCAAAGAGGGGGACCUUCGGGCCUCUCGCGUCACGAUAUGCCUAGGUGGGAUUAGCUAGUUGGUGAGGUAAUGGCUCACCAAGGCGACGAUCCCUAGCUGGUCUGAGAGGAUGAUCAGCCACACUGGAACUGAGACACGGUCCAGACUCCUACGGGAGGCAGCAGUGGGGAAUAUUGCACAAUGGGCGCAAGCCUGAUGCAGCCAUGCCGCGUGUAUGAAGAAGGCCUUCGGGUUGUAAAGUACUUUCAGCAGUGAGGAAGGGGUGUACGUUAAUAGCGUGCAUCCUUGACGUUAGCUGCAGAAGAAGCACCGGCUAACUCCGUGCCAGCAGCCGCGGUAAUACGGAGGGUGCGAGCGUUAAUCGGAAUUACUGGGCGUAAAGCGCAUGCAGGUGGUUCGUUAAGUCAGAUGUGAAAGCCCGGGGCUCAACCUCGGAACUGCAUUUGAAACUGGCGGGCUAGAGUACUGUAGAGGGGGGUAGAAUUUCAGGUGUAGCGGUGAAAUGCGUAGAGAUCUGAAGGAAUACCAGUGGCGAAGGCGGCCCCCUGGACAGAUACUGACACUCAGAUGCSAAAGCGUGGGGAGCMAACAGGAUUAGAUACCCUGGUAGUCCACGCCGUAAACGAUGUCUACUUGGAGGUUGUGGCCUUGAGCCGUGGCUUUCGGAGCUAACGCGUUAAGUAGACCGCCUGGGGAGUACGGUCGCAAGAUUAAAACUCAAAUGAAUUGACGGGGGCCCGCACAAGCGGUGGAGCAUGUGGUUUAAUUCGAUGCAACGCGAAGAACCUUACCUACUCUUGACAUCCAGAGAAGCCAGCGGAGACGCAGGUGUGCCUUCGGGAACUCUGAGACAGGUGCUGCAUGGCUGUCGUCAGCUCGUGUUGUGAAAUGUUGGGUUAAGUCCCGCAACGAGCGCAACCCUUAUCCUUGUUUGCCAGCGAGUAAUGUCGGGAACUCCAGGGAGACUGCCGGUGAUAAACCGGAGGAAGGUGGGGACGACGUCAAGUCAUCAUGGCCCUUACGAGUAGGGCUACACACGUGCUACAAUGGCGCAUACAGAGGGCAGCCAACCAGCGAUGGUGAGCGAAUCCCAAAAAGUGCGUCGUAGUCCGGAUUGGAGUCUGCAACUCGACUCCAUGAAGUCGGAAUCGCUAGUAAUCGUGAAUCAGAAUGUCACGGUGAAUACGUUCCCGGGCCUUGUACACACCGCCCGUCACACCAUGGGAGUGGGCUGCAAAAGAAGUAGGUAGUUUAACCUUUCGGGGAGGACGCUUACCACUUUGUGGUUCAUGACUGGGGUGAAGUCGUAACAAGG
rnacentral:rRNA from 1 species